rnacentral:ncRNA from 1 species
AAAGUUUAAUCCUGGCUUGCAGGUUUAGUUUAAGAUAUUUUACAUGGAAUACUUGCAGAGAUUUCACGUCAAUAAGUCAUAAAGCUCGGCUUUUAACCCCCAGUAAAUAAAUUUAGGGAUUUAGUUAAGCUAGCUCUAGUAUUCGGCUGAUAAAACAAGUGCCAGCAAUCGCGGUUAGACUUGGAGCUUGAAACUAUAAUAUCUAAGGAUCCUUUAAAUUCUCACUGAGAUUAGAGGUGAAAUUCUAAAUCUUAAGCGAUAACUAAGUACUUUCCUCCCUCCCAAGGCUAAAACCAGGAUUAGAUACCCUGUUAUUCUCGGGUUUGUAUCUUACGGGUAGUAAUUAAUAUAAUAUAAAACCCAAAGGAUUUGGCGGCUGCUCAUCUUACCAGAGGAAUCUGUCCCAUAAUAGAUAGUACACUUAAAAUCUCACCCGAGCUAAUGUUUGUAUACCUCCGUCUAAGUGCUUUCUACAGAGUCCACUGCUUUUUGUCUACGGUAAUGUCAGGUCAAGGUGCAGCUAAUGCUUGGGGAUCAGAUGGAUGACAUUUCGUAAACUAGUGGAGUUGUCGUGUAACUGAUAAUACAAAAAGGAUUUGGUAGUAAUAAGAUAUUUAAUAAGGGCUUAUGAAUUAGCUCUGAGUAGUGCACAUAUCGCCCGUCACUCUCGUAUCGCGAGAUAAGUCGUAACAGAGUAAAAAUACCGGAAGGUGUUUUUUGCUUACUAAGGUUAG